rnacentral:rRNA from 1 species
UACGGAGGGUGCUAGCGUUGUUCGGAAUCACUGGGCGUAAAGGGCGUGUAGGCGGUCUGUUAAGUCUGAUGUGAAAUCCCCUCGCUCAACGAGGGAACUGCGUCGGAUACUGGCAGACUUGAGUACCGGAGAGGAAGGUGGAAUUCCCGGUGUAGCGGUGAAAGUGCGUAGAUAUCGGGAGGAACACCAGUGGCGAAGGCGGCGCCUGGGCCAAUACUGACGCUGAGGUGCGAAAGCGUGGGGAGCAAACAGG